CAGCAGCCGCGGGAAUACGAAGGUCCCGAGCGUUGUUCGGAAUCACUGGGCGUAAAGGGAGCGUAGGCGGCGUGGUAAGUCAGAUGUGAAAUCCCGGGGCUCAACCCCGGAACUGCAUCCGAUACUGCCAUGCUAGAGGAUUGGAGAGGUAGCUGGAAUUCUUGGUGUAGCAGUGAAAUGCGUGGAGAUCAAGAGGAACACUCGUGGCGAAAGCGAGCUACUGGACAAUAACUGACGCUGAGGCUCGAAGGCCAGGGUAGCGAAAGGGAUUAGAUACCCGAGUAGUCCCUGUCUCUUAUAC
rnacentral:rRNA from 1 species